rnacentral:lncRNA from 1 species
UGGAGGUGGUUCAACGUUGGGGAAGUGAAUGCCAAAGAUUUGAAGUGCGCGAUGAAUUUGGUUCAUCAAAUUGUUUUGGGUUACAAUUUGAGAUUGCUGGGCGUUAAUCCACUCUUUCAGGUCUGCCACUUUAGAUAUCAGUGUUUCGACCUCUUAUGUUCUUUGCCUAGAGGAUAAGGCAGAUGGAUCCUGAAGGCAGGCUUUCCUAAGCCCCCGGUGAACUUUCCCAGGCCGACGACCAAGCAUCUGAUUGAGUGUAUCUGCCAUGAUUUGAAAACCAGCAUCCUCAGGGGGAAACACCUCCUUGAUCGGGGUUUCUAGGGAAAGCUGGGAAACCACCUCCUCCAGAACAGUUUAGCCCUUCUCCACCAUGGUGGACUAGAAAAAAGAAAUAAACAAAUUAAUUUGAAUAUACAUGUAAUUAAUAUUAAUACUAGUUGAAUUUUAAAAAAAAUUGAAAUAACUUACAUGAAGCUGCUACAUUAGCUUAUCCUCGGGCCGAACGUACACCUCCUUGAACAUGUCAAUUUCAGGAAACUUUGACCCCUCUUAAAAAAUUUAGAAAGUGUUAAUAUAGAUUACCAAUUGUGUAAUAAAGAGUAAAAAGAUUGAAAACUUAAAAUAAAUAUACGGGUACCUUACGUCGGUCCUCCAACCUAUAAGAGAAGUGUUGUGAGUCGGAUCGCUGAAGAAGUUUCUUCUUCGACUGAUUGAUCGAGUUUGCCUUCACUUUUUUUAUGUUGAAUUAAAAAAACGUAUUAGUUUAGAUAUUUAUAACAAAUGAAUGAAAAAAAGAAAAUUUUAUACGUACGAGGUAUUUCUCAUCUUGAAAAUGGCCGCAGAGCCACUCCCAUUCAUCUUGGCGGUCCACCAACUCUAUUGAGCACCUAACUGCUAGAGCAACCUCUAGACCGUCAUAUAGCUCAUAAUGCUUGUGGAGGUCGCUCUUCCAUUGAGUGAACCUACCGGAGCAAAGGUCGUUGAUGUACUGCAUUUGAUUGGCAUGGCAUCGAGGUUGGAGAGUUCAUAGUGAUGUUGCAAAACUCAACAAACAAAUAGUAGUUAAAAUUUAUAUACUUUAAUAAAAAUUUAGUAUUUGAGGUUGAAAAUACUUACCAAUAAUUCAUGAAGAACGGCUUCCUUGACUUCAGGUAGGACAACUUUUCUUGACUUCCAAAUGAGGGGGCAAUGGUUCUUGAUAACCGAGCCAAUGUCAGUGGCCAACGCACUGUGCUGCUCUUUUGUUGCAGUCGCACAAUGUCGAGGAUCCCACGUAAUGGUGAUCUUCUCGGUCAUGGUGCAAGUGGUCUGCGAUGUCUUAAGUAGUUCGCAAGGGCUCCUGAUUUAUUUAUUUAUUUUUGAACUACCAAAUAAACAAAGUAAACAUUAGACGAAUUCUAUUUUCUACAAAAAAUUCGGCAGAACCUCCCUUAAAACUAUAACAUUUCCUAAAACCUGUAGACAAUAUAACAACAAAAACAACAUAUCCACCCAACAAUUCAAAUAGUUUAUACCAAUUGGGGACGUUAAAAUAAAAUUUACAACUUGUUGAUAUGACUUCACACUGCGAGUCUACAACAAGUUUUGGCUUCUAAGGCCAGGUGUGCCAACUUAAAUUGUUUAUAGUAGUGAUAAUAAUAAUAUAGAGAGCAUCUAUUUGUGGGAUUACACGAAUUGACAAUAAUAGAGGCAAAGCACUCAAAGCGAAGUUCUUAGUAAGUUUGUUCUAAUUAAUGGGAAUGUGAUAGUUUUGAAGGUUCAAGCAUGCCUACAGACUAAUGUCAAUGUUGCUUUAACCAUCAUGAAACCAGAAGCAAGCUUAUCAAUGGAUAGAGCAAGCUUACCUGUAUGAGACCUCUCUCCAUGGAGAUGAAGCCUCACUAGAUUGCUGAGUCUUCUUAGAACUCUAGGGCCGUCGAUGAGUCCGCUGGGCUAAGGUACAAGGUGCGUCACAAAAAAAGUUGAUGAUGCAGGAGCCGUAGAUACCGUUGGCCCCAAAGGCAUGACCGGAGGGACACCCAUCGUGCCCAUAUCAGGUGUGGAGGUGGCAGCAACACUACCACCUAGAGAAGGUGUCUGACUACCCCUACUAGCUGCCCGCCGGUUUGAUAUUAAGUUCAACAUGUACAAAAAAAAUUAAUAAAAAAGUUACAUUCCACUACUUUAAUAUGGUUUGGAUAUACUAAAAAAAUAUCCUAAAUAUUCAUGCACUAUAGGAACAUUUAUAGUGUCCCACAUGCCUAUAUGUAUAAUCUAUUUACAUGCCUUAUGCAAACCUAUAUGAUAAACAUGAAAAAGAAAAGUUAAAAGGACAAAACAGUUUGCAAGACAAUGCAACUUGUAAGGAAUUGAUGAAUGAUGGAAGAGGGCAAGCAUGUACUUAUUCUGGCUGAAGGUAAGAUGAAUAGAUGUGUGUGUGUGUGUGUGUGUGUACUUAUGUAUCAUAUUCAUGACUUGGACAAAGGGAGGGGCAGACAACCCACAUCUCCACAUAUGAAUCAAGUUUGGUUCAGCAGUUGUAGACAAAGUUAGAAAAAGAAAAAAACAAUCAUGAAUCUGUUUAGAUAUCAUCUUCUUAUAUGCAUUUCAUUUCACAUAUAUAAGGUGAAUGAAAACAUGAGAUAGGAAUAAAAAAGAGUAUUGCAAGGAACAAGUUUAUUCAUAAAAACAAACAAACAAAUUGACCCAUCUACAAUGACAUAUAUGAUGCAACAAAUAUAUUGAAGGGAAAUCGAACUAAAACCUCAAGGUAGAAUCCAUUAGCAAACCCUAGAAUCCACUAAGAAUAAUUGAGGGAAAACUCAUGUUUGUCAUGAAAAACCCUAGAAGGUCUUAACGAUCAAAUAGGAAAUAAAUAAAUAAAAUUGUGAACAAAGUUCCAAAUACAUUCCUAAGUUACAAAGCUUGUACAAAUUAUGAAUGGAAGAUAGUUACAAAACUUGAACAAACUAACAACAAUUGGUACCAUGACAGUUACAAAACUUGUUGCAUCCCUAACAUGUGUAAUGCUAAUGUGAAUGAGGCUAGAAUGUGUGAUAUAGUUGCUCAAUGUCUUAGUGAAUGGGAUGACUGUGGUUAAACACGAAGCUCAAUUGCCAGCCACCAAAUAAAAUGAGAAGUUAGAGCAAAAGCAUUCUUAAAAUGACAUGAUUAAAUUAAUUCCAACUAAUUAUCAAAUGCAUGCAUGACAAAGUUGAAACCCACAUAUUAUCAAAUCAAUUAUCUUCAAACUUUUGGGCAUACAACAUUUUUAUCCCUAAAGAAAAAAUAGAAUAAACAAUUCCUUAGAUUGAUAUUACAGUAUUUCUGUGGGAAUGAAUGAAGAACUAAACCUACAUUGGAUCCAGGUGUUUUAUUUCAGGUCCACUCUGAAUGGUUAGUUUCAUUGAACUUCCUUCAGUGAAACUAAAUAAAAAUUUACUAGGAAAAAACAAAUCAUGAUUGUGAAACACUUGUUACAAGUCACCAGCCCACUCACAAGUUCAAAAGGGCCCAAAAUAUAGAGCUACUCCAAUGAUAUGGCUUCCAACUAGAAAUUUUGUGAACAAUCCCUAGACUAUCCUAGCACUAAUGGAUAGUUCCUACUACAAUCAUUUAGAUAUCAGAAAUGACUUGACUAGAAAACUGCAAUUCGAACCUCUAUAUACGGAUGACAGCUUCAGAACUAGGUAGCUUCUAGACUUUAUUUUUGUUUCCAAUAGUGCAUAGAAAAAUCACCAUAUAUUUUGAGAUUAAAAUGGAAUGGGGUUUUGUCUACAUUUUAUGUUUUCUUUUUCAUUUUUCCUCUCUGAGGGUUUUGAUAAGCAAUUAGAAUCAUCAUGGUGAAAAUUAGUGAGGUUUUCCUAGAUUUAGGCCCAUUAUAAAAGCAAAACUACAUGUUCUUUUGCCCAAAAAUUAAGUUAGAAGCAGCAUGGCUAAAUGCAGCUGGUUUUAACAUCAAAAUUAUUGCAAUAAGAGAUUGCUCACCAAAUCACACACAAUUUUUGUUUUGAUUUGGGAUAUUUCAGAUCACUUAGUGAAAAGAGCAAGUUCAACAAGAAAAAAACUACCAAUUCUCAUCAGCUCUGCAGUUUUACUCCUAGGAAUGUUAAUAGUUAGAUUGAUGAUAUUGUAUAUACGGAAGAAGAAACUCAGAAAUGAAGGUAAGAAUCUCAUACAAGGACUACAAAUUUUAUUUUAUUUAUGUGUAUAUGAUUAUAAGAUUUAGGAACAAAAAUAUAAUUCAGAGUAUCAUGACAUUAACAAUGAAAAAUGUAGUAGAUAAGGUGUUAUUAUUUUAUCUUGAAAGUGUAACUAACUGCUCACAUCAUUUUUACUCGUACUGAAGUGAUCUCUUAAAUAUUUUCAAAACCUUUUUUUUUUAGUCACAUAUUUUUAAAGCGUCUUCAUUAUCAGUUUAGACCUAAUUGACCUCCAGGUUGGACAUGAAGAUGAAUACUUACUUUGUUUGCUUUGAUUAAGGAUAAUCCCAACAAUGUAAUUGUUACCAUAUUGUUAUAAUGUUUCAUGGAAAAACAAUGAUAAAGGAAUGACAACUAUGUAGAGCCAAAAAUAAUCAAGAGGUGACAUGUGAAUAUUUGGGUGAAAAUGAUAAAAUUACCCUCGAGGCACACCGGAAUUCCUACGCGUGAGCAGUGGACAAUCAUCCCUCAAUCAAGUAAAAAAUGCCCAAAAUAGGUAACAAAUUCAAAGUUAUUUCAUCCAUCCUCAUCCUAUAUUUUCCACAAGGUAAUUAUUUCAUAACCUUCAAAACAUUCCAUAUAAAUUGAGUUAAUUGGCUAAUUAAUGGAUUUAUUCCUAAUUAAUCUAUUAAUUACCAAUUAAAUCACCCAUUUCACACAAAAAUACCCCAAAGGUCAGGCCACCUUUUCUCAAAAAGGGGACCGGCCAUGCUCUAUAUAUUGAACCCCUUUUUCUCUAAAAACCUAGGUCCACACUCUUGCAAAACUCCAAAAACUCUCUAAACACUUUUCUCUCUAAAUUCUAACUUUGGCAUUGUAGGUUCUUCGGCAAAGACCCCCUAUUCAUUGUGGGCGUGUGAGGCUUUUGGCAUUAACCAAAGAUGUUAAUUGUUUUGUAGGUGCAAUUUUGUCCAAGAUCAAGGAGGAAGAAAUUUACAUCCACAAAUUGGUGCUUUCAUUGAGAGUUGAGUCCCACACUCGUAGAAGACUCUUGCAUCCAAGGUUUUCUAUUUUCUUGUCCAUUUGUAGAUUUUUCAUACGUUCUUAUUUUUAGAAUUUUUUAUUUGCAAAAAUUAUUUGAUAAAGCGUAAAAGAAAAGUACAAUGGCUAGAAAUUUAGAAACUUCAACAAACAAAAAUUCCAACGUUCAAGAGAUGGGACCACAACGAUCCACGAGGCUAAACUAGACAAUAAGUGGAGCGGCAUCACCACCACAAAGCUUCACCAUGG